rnacentral:lncRNA from 1 species
CACAACAAUCCGAUUCCCUUGGCUCUACUUGCUCUUCUCUCCCUUGUCCUUGGUUUUUCUCUCCCAAAACUUGUUUCACGUAAAACUGCUUCUAACCUUUUCUUUUCCUAACUCCCAAAAUAUAACUCCUCCUUUAUUUCAUUAAACUCCCCUUAAUUCUAUUAAUUCCUAAUUAACUCCCCAACCUCCAAAAUAAUAUUAAUUCUCACAUUAUUCUAAUUUAUAUUAAAAUAAACUAUAUAAUGAAAUAAUACACACCACAUAAUCAACCAAUAUUAUUUAAAAUCACAUAAAUUAUAUAAAUAUAUCCUAACUCAAUAAAAAUAAUUAAAUAAUCAAAUAAUUCAAGGAGGGCGUUACAACUCUACCCCUCUUAAAAGAAUUUCGUCCUCGAAAUUCAAAGCAAAAGAAAAUGAAUUCAGUUAGUGCAUAAAUACCCUUAAACUAUAUAUAGCAAGAUAUAACCUUCAAUCAAAACAUACAAACCACAUUAAGUUAAUCAAUCAACAUAAUCACUUAAUAAACAUAACAAUUUAUCAGGAAACACAACAAACAACAAUCAGGACAAAACAGACAACAUUAAGUUGACACUCUAGCCUAUGUGGCUCAACACGACUCUACUAUUUGGCCGGACGGACCAACCUGCUCUGAUACCAAUUGUAACAUCCCGUUUUCCCGACUUAGAAAUUUCAUUUAAUUAAUCAGAGUAAUCAUCAAAUAACGGAAUGCUACACUUCUAAAAAUCAUAAAACAGAUAAUUAACAAAUUAUCUUUCAACAUAAUUAAUUCAAAUACUUCGCAGCGGAUUAAGUUCAUCAUCAUAAAUAAGUUUUGGCACGCAGGCCUCAUCAAACGCAUUAUAAGUUCAGUAAAUCAACAUCAAAACAUAGCAUGUACGUAAAGGAAAGAGAAAUAGCCACUAAAGACCCCUCCCGUUACGUAUCAGAGCCCUAAGACACUUGAGCCACCACUCCUACUACACUUUAAUACCUGCAAGUUACCCAUACGAAGGGCAACAUUUUCAAGCAGAAGGGGUGAGAUUCACAAUCAAUAAUAAUAAUGUAUAAUUCAUCAAAUGCAACUAACAACUUAAACUCCAUUAAUUAGUAAUAGUAAUUCUUUUAACGGCUCCUAAACCAUAUCAUAUACUCAUCAUAUCAACAAUCAUAACUCGAUAUCAUAAACAACAUCAUUUAACUUCAUAAUUAACAUCUUAAUCAUAAUCAUAUAACAUCAUACUCAUAAUUCGUAUACAACAUGACAACUUCAUAAUGAAUGACCUAAACAACGUAACAACAUCAUAUUCAUAGUUCAUAUACAACAUAACAACAUCAUUAAUUCAUGUUAACAUUCUCCACCUAGCACCUUAUUAACAACUCAUGAAUAGAGGACAACUUAGCAACUAUAUGUAACAUCAUCAUUUCAUAAUAAUAAUUAUUCAUCAAACGUUCCAUUAGCAAUUCAUGAAUAAAAGACAACCUAUCAACUUAACAUAACCAUCAUCAAGUACAUUUAACAACUCAUAGAUAACAUCACAUAAUCAUCAUCACAACAUUCAUAAUCAUCAUCAUGUAACAUCAUAACAACCUCAUAUUCAACACCAUAAACAGUCAUCAUAACAUCAUAAUCAAUAUCAUAAUAAUAUAAACAACAACAUAUAUUCAACAAUAAUGUUCUUACUUCUUUAACUUUAGUAACACUUGCUAAUUCAACCAACAACGACGACAACAACAAGAUUCAACGACAACGACAACAAAUCUCUCAAGAACAACGGCAACUACAAUUAUCCAAUAUAUGUAUAUAUUUCAUGAUCAACAAUAUCAUCAAUAAUAGAUAUCCAAUUCAUCAAUUAAAUCUAACAUCCUGUCAUAAUAAUAAUUCAUCAAUAUAUAAGUAUAUUAUCAUUAACAACAUCAACAACAAAUGGUAAUUAAAACCAACAACAACGACUCAUGCAAGACAUGACCUUCCCCCUAAUACUCCUCAAUAAAUGCAACUAUGCAUGUGGUACCAUAAUUCAGGGCCGUGACCCACACCGCUGUCGAAUGGUUAAAGCAUUCUCAACAGGACCUAAGUCCUCACCGCUCCACACCGCUUUGAACAACUAGUGUUCCACCGCUUUGAACGACAAGGCGUUCCAGAGCCGAAGCUCUCCCACUUUGAUGUUUAUGCAACUACCCAACCUGUGUAUCUCUACAUACAACUCCACAACAAAUGCAUAUGUACUUAUAUGACUCACCACGACAAUCCAAUUAAUAAUACUUCAACCUUUGAAAAGAAUUCAGCAACAUGUAUAAUUUAUUUAAAUAUAAAUAUACAUCAUAGUCAACAAUAAUCCAUCAUAAUUGAUCCAACGAAUCUUAAUAGCAAGAUCCAUCAACACAUUCACAACAACAUAUAUAUUCACCCACCAUAUCAUAAUACAUCAAUUCAGUAAGCAAUCAUGUUCUUGGUAAACAAUGCAGUCACAUAUAAUCAAUAAUAAACGGAAACAUGGCAGCACUCAAACAUUCUUAAGAUAUAACAAUAUCAAAUGGUAAUUAACAUCAACUUAAACAUCUUAUAUAAUCCACAUAACGAACAUAUUUCACAUUAACCAACAUUAACCAACAUUACCCAACAUUAGGUUAAAUACUCUUAAACACCUUAAUUGAAUUCAUAAUACUUCUAGUUUUCGAGGUUUGAAAUUAUUCCCUAAGUUUUGGAUUAACUUAGAAACGGUUAUGCUGAAUUUUCAUAAGAUUUCACUAAGACCUACUUGGAGUAUUUCCAUCAUAACUUCUAAACCAAAAAUCAUUUUAAAGUCAAACCAAAGCCAUUGGAAAGCUAACAAAAUUAUCUACAACUUUUAUGUUUACACCAAAGGCCAAUUCAAAACAGAAACGUGUGAAAAAGACACAAGAACGCAAAAUAAGAAAUGCUGUAAAAAGGCAUUUCGCUUAAGCGAACGGUGCUUCGCUUAAGCGAACUACUUACAGUAGCUGUUCGCUUACAGCUCGCUUCCGGCUCGCUUAAGCGAACAGUCAUCGUUCCUGCAUAAUUUUUCACGGGUUUAAACCAUUUUUCACCCCAAAACUCCCAAUUUUGAUCUCCCAAUGCCCAAACAUGUUUCCAAAUAUUGUUUAUAGGUUCAUUAUACAAUUAGACAUCUAAAGGAACAUAAAACAUGCAUCAACAACAACAAAUACAGAUCAUUCCACCAUCAUACAAAUCUUCAUCAAUUCAUCCCAUCAAUCAUAAUUUCAAUCAAUUUAUGAUCACAACAACAGUAUAGAUUAAGUUUUCAUUCUAAACAUUACGUUACAACAGAAUUAACAUGAUCAAUACCCAUUCCCCUCAAAAUCAUCAUCAAACCCUAACCCUCAAUUUAUUUUCCAAAACUAUGCAAUUAGGUCAAUUUUCAGAAAUUAUAGAUUAUGAUUAUUGAGAGAUAGUCUCACCCUUACCUUAAUUUAGAUGAACAAAAGCACAACAAUCCGAUUCCCUUGGCUCUACUUGCUCUUCUCUCCCUUGUCCUUGGUUUUUCUCUCCCAAAACUUGUUUCACGUAAAACUGCUUCUAACCUUUUCUUUUCCUAACUCCCAAAAUAUAACUCCUCCUUUAUUUCAUUAAACUCCCCUUAAUUCUAUUAAUUCCUAAUUAACUCCCCAACCUCCAAAAUAAUAUUAAUUCUCACAUUAUUCUAAUUUAUAUUAAAAUAAAC